rnacentral:rRNA from 1 species
UACGUAGGGUCCAAGCGUUAUCCGGAAUUACUGGGCGUAAAGAGUUGCGUAGGUGGCAAAGUAAGCGAAUAGUGAAAUGAUACGGCUCAACCGUAUGUCCAUUAUUUGAACUGCUUAGCUAGAGAAUAUGAGAGGUAGAUGGAAUUCCCUGUGUAGGAGUGAAAUCCGUAGAUAUAGGGAGGAACACCGAUGGCGUAGGCAGUCUACUGGCAUAUUUCUGACACUAAGGCACGAAAGCGUGGGGAGCAAACGGG